rnacentral:rRNA from 1 species
GACGAACGCUGGCGGCGUGCCUAAUACAUGCAAGUCGAACGCUUUGAUUUUCACCGGAGCUUGCUCCACCGAAAAUCAAAGAGUGGCGGACGGGUGAGUAACACGUGGGCAACCUGCCCAACAGAGGGGGAUAACACUUGGAAACAGGUGCUAAUACCGCAUAAUUUGUUUUCCCGCAUGGGAGAAUAAUAAAAGACGCUUCGGUGUCACUGUUGGAUGGGCCCGCGCUGCAUUAGUUAGUUGGUGGGGUAAUGGCCUACCAAGACCGUGAUGCAUAGCCGACCUGAGAGGGUGAUCGGCCACACUGGGACUGAGACACGGCCCAG